GUUCUGAAGGUGUAGUCAAGGUGCUGUGGUAUCUGGUGACAGUGGUCUGGUGGCAGGGUCCCAAGAUGGUGCUGGACAUCCCUUGGUCAGUGAUAGAAAAGAACAGAACAUACGGGAAAUGGGAAUAAAACAGCUACAUUGGGGAAGGAGAGAAGAGCGAGGCUGAGAAUGUCCUAGAACUCUGCAACUUAAAGUGUGAUUCAGGGAUGGCUUCUGACCCUGCACAAGGAUCUUGGCAGAUGCACACUGCACAUUUCACUGAGCAUCACUGAAGUGCCAUGGAAAGAACAGAGUCAAAUCUAAAAGCAUUCAAGUCCACAGUUCUCCAUUUAUUACUGGGUGAUCUCAGGCAGAUAACUUCUGUUCCUUCAUGUAUAGAAAUUUGAAUGGCAGAAGAUACUAUGUAAAUUUUAUUAUAUCAGUUAAGCAUAGAACACACAUAAAAGCAGAGUUCCAGGCACAGAACUGCUUUUUUGAAUAAGCAGAAUCAGUGGUAUUUUCCACACAUUAUCUCAUAUAUUCCUCCCAGUAGCUCUGGGAAGUGGGGGGAUCAUAAGCCUAUUGUGUAGAGGACGAAACAGAGGCUUCCAAGACAGAGCCGAAGAAAAAGGUUAAAUGCUUUGCUUGAAGUUAGAGCUGAAACCAGAGAUGAUUCAUAGACCAAAAGAACUGCAUGAAAGUAGCACCCACGAUGUUCUCAAUCGCUUUUCCGGUUAUAUUUGUUGCUAACAAGUUGGCUGUGUGGGCAGCAAGUUGAUAAAGGGACUGAGUCAUUUAGCCUUGGUGCUAUUGUUUCCAUUUACAGACUACAAAACUGACUUGGGUAGGAAAAUUCCAUCAAAAAUUUUAAUAUAGGAAAAAAAAAAGAAUAAUAAAAAAGGCAAGACCCCUUUGCAAAAGCUCUGCAAGGGUCAACAGGAUUAAUCAGACCUUGAAGCGUGCUUAUUUUAACUGAAAUAAGGAGCUACAUGGGAGAAACUUCAUGGACUACUUGUGUAUUAGAAACAUGAUGUAUUUGCCCCUUUUCUCUUCCUGUGCAGUGAAUAUGUGAUUACAUGAAGCAAGUUGGUAGGAGAAAGCGUGGAACAACCAUGAAGUUGUAUUCUGAAAAUGGGUUGAUUAUCUGUAAAUGUUAUUUUACAUUCUCAGAUUCAUCAAAAUCAUCAACUCAAGGUUCCUUGAAAAAGAAUGAAUAGAUAAUAGGCUGCUAAAAUUGAUGGAUUAAAAGCCCGG
rnacentral:lncRNA from 1 species